rnacentral:rRNA from 1 species
CAUAGCGACUAUCGUGGCAUAUCAAUAAGCGGAGGAAAAGAAACUAACAAGGAUUCCCCUAGUAACGGCGAGUGAAGCGGGAAGAGCUCAAAUUUGAAAUCUUCAAGGGUUUCCCUUGACGAAUUGUAGUUUAAAGAAGUGUUUUCUGUUGGAGUUUCGGUAAAAGUUCUUUGGAAUAGGACAUCAUAGAGGGUGAGAAUCCCGUAUUUGACCGUUACUUUCCUAGCUGUGUGAUACACUUUCAAAGAGUCGGAUUGUUUGGGAAUGCAGUCCAAAAUGGGUGGUAAAUUUCAUCUAAAGCUAAAUAUUGGCGAGAGACCGAUAGCGAACAAGUACCGUGAGGGAAAGAUGAAAAGAACUUUGAAAAGAGAGUUAAACAGUACGUGAAAUUGUCAAAAGGGAAGCGUUUGACACCAGUGUUGUUUAGUUGAAAAUCAAUUCAAUAAUUUUUGAUUCUAAGUAGUAUUGACUUCAUCAGCUUGCUGCUUUCUUCUCGAAAAUUAUUGAAUGCACUUUUCAGUUAACAAGUCAACAUCAAUUUCUUUUGUUGUAAAAGGGUAAGAGGAAGGUGGCUUGCGCUUCGGCUCAAGUGUUUAUAGCCUUUUACCUCUGCAAUCGGAGAGAUUGAGGUCUGCAGCGUAGAUCCUUCGGGGUUAGAUACAUUUGUGCUAAGCUAUAGCCUUGUAUAGACAACUUGUUGACUAUGCUCAGUCAUGUAGCUUACUCGCUAGAUGCUAUUUUACCUACGCUUAGGAUGUUGACGCGCGUGUGUGCGUG